rnacentral:rRNA from 1 species
CGGCCGCGUCGACGGCUCUAACCGUUAAAAUUUGUCAGUUGAUACUGGCGUUCUUGAGUGCAGUUGAGGUGUGCGGAAUUCGUGGUGUAGCGGUGAAAUGCUUAGAUAUCACGAAGAACUCCGAUUGCGAAGGCAGCUCACUAAACUGUAACUGACGUUCAUGCUCGAAAGUGUGGGUAUCAAACAGGAUUAGAUACCCUGGUAGUCCACACGGUAAACGAUGGAUACUCGCUGUUGGCGAUAUACUGUCAGCGGCCAAGCGAAAGCGUUAAGUAUCCCACCUGGGGAGUACGCCGGCAACGGUGAAACUCAAAGGAAUUGACGGGGCCCGCACAAGCGGAGGAACAUGUGGUUUAAUUCGAUGAUACGCGAGGAACCUUACCGGGCUUAAAUUGCAGAGGAAUAAUCUAGGAAACAGAUUAGUCUUCGGACUUCUGUAGAAGGUGCUGCAUGGUUGUCGUCAGCUCGUGCCGUGAGGUGUCGGCUUAAGUGCCAUAACGAGCGCUAACCGUUGUGGUCAGUUACUAACAGGUAAUCG